rnacentral:rRNA from 1 species
ACGGGUGAGUAAUACAUCGGAACGUAUCCUGGAGUGGGGGAUAGCCCGGCGAAAGCCGGAUUAAUACCGCAUACGCUCUGAGGAGGAAAGCGGGGGACCUUCGGGCCUCGCGCUCAAGGGGCGGCCGAUGGCGGAUUAGGUAGUUGGUGGGGUAAAGGCCUACCAAGCCGACGAUCCGUAGCUGGUCUGAGAGGACGACCAGCCACACUGGGACUGAGACACGGCCCAGACUCCUACGGGAGGCAGCAGUGGGGAAUUUUGGACAAUGGGGGCAACCCUGAUCCAGCAAUGCCGCGUGUGUGAAGAAGGCCUUCGGGUUGUAAAGCACUUUUGUCCGGAAAGAAAUCAUCGGGGCCAAUACCCCUGGUGGAUGACGGUACCGGAAGAAUAAGCACCGGCUAACUACGUGCCAGCAGCCGCGGUAAUACGUAGGGUGCGAGCGUUAAUCGGAAUUACUGGGCGUAAAGCGUGCGCAGGCGGUGCUGUAAGACCGAUGUGAAAUCCCCGGGCUUAACCUGGGAACUGCAUUGGUGACUGCAGCGCUGGAGUAUGGCAGAGGGGGGUGGAAUUCC